rnacentral:rRNA from 1 species
CACCUACGGGUGGCAGCAGUGGGGAAUUUUGGACAAUGGGGGCAACCCUGAUCCAGCCAUGCCGCGUGAGUGAAGAAGGCCUUCGGGUUGUAAAGCUCUUUCGGCCGGGAAGAAAUCGCAUAGGUUAAUACCCUGUGUGGAUGACGGUACCGGAAUAAGAAGCACCGGCUAACUACGUGCCAGCAGCCGCGGUAAUACGUAGGGUGCGAGCGUUAAUCGGAAUUACUGGGCGUAAAGCGUGCGCAGGCGGUUUAGUAAGACAGGCGUGAAAUCCCCGGGCUCAACCUGGGAACUGCGCUUGUGACUGCUAAGCUAGAGUACGGCAGAGGGGGGUGGAAUUCCACGUGUAGCAGUGAAAUGCGUAGAGAUGUGGAGGAACACCAAUGGCGAAGGCAGCCCCCUGGGCCGAUACUGACGCUCAUGCACGAAAGCGUGGGUAGCAAACAGGAUUAGAUACCCUGGUAGUCCACGCCCUAAACGAUGUCAACUAGGUGUUGGGUGGGUAAAACCAUUUAGUACCGUAGCUAACGCG